UACAGCCAUAUCACAUUGAAAGACCGAUUCUUGUACGAUCACCAAAGUUAAGCAAUGUUGAGCCCGGUCAGUACCUAGAUAGCUGACUGCUUGGGUAUACCAAGUGCUGUAA